UACAGAGGUCCCAAGCGUUAUCCGGAUUCACUGGGUUUAAAGGGUGCGUAGGCGGAUAGGUAAGUCCGUGGUGAAAUCCUGCAGCUUAACUGCAGAACUGCCAUGGAUACUAUUUAUCUUGAAUGUCGUGGAGGUUAGCAGAAUAUGUCAUGUAGCGGUGAAAUGCUUAGAUAUGACAUAGAAUACCCAUUGCGAAGGCAGCUAACUACGCGAUAAUUGACGCUGAUGCACGAAAGCGUGGGGAUCA
rnacentral:rRNA from 1 species